rnacentral:rRNA from 1 species
UACGUAGGGUGCGAGCGUUAAUCGGAAUUACUGGGCGUAAAGCGUGCGCAGGCGGUUUUGUAAGCCAGAUGUGAAAUCCCCCGGGCUCAACCUGGGAAUGGCAUUUGGGACUGCAAGGCUGGAGUGCGGCAGAGGAGACUGGAAUUCCUGGUGUAGCAGUGAAAUGCGUAGAUAUCAGGAGGAACACCGGUGGCGAAGGCGGGUCUCUGGGCCGAUACUGACGCUGAGGAGCGAAAGCGUGGGGAGCGAACAGG